rnacentral:rRNA from 1 species
GGGUUGUGAGGUUAAGCGACUAAGCGUACACGGUGGAUGCCCUGGCAGUCAGAGGCGAUGAAGGACGUGCUAAUCUGCGAUAAGCGUCGGUAAGGUGAUAUGAACCGUUAUAACCGGCGAUUUCCGAAUGGGGAAACCCAGUGUGAUUCGUCACACUAUCAUUAACUGAAUCCAUAGGUUAAUGAGGCGAACCGGGGGAACUGAAACAUCUAAGUACCCGAGGAAAAGAAAUCAACCGAGAUUCCCCAGUAGCGGCGAGCGAACGGGGAGCAGCCCAGAGCCUGAAUCAGUGUGUGUGUUAGUGGAAGCGUCUGGAAAGGCGCGCGAUACAGGGUGACAGCCCCGUACACAAAAAUGCACAUGCUGUGAGCUCGAUGAGUAGGGCGGGACACGUGGUAUCCUGUCUGAAUAUGGGGGGACCAUCCUCCAAGGCUAAAUACUCCUGACUGACCGAUAGUGAACCAGUACCGUGAGGGAAAGGCGAAAAGAACCCCGGCGAGGGGAGUGAAAAAGAACCUGAAACCGUGUACGUACAAGCAGUGGGAGCCUCUUUAUGGGGUGACUGCGUACCUUUUGUAUAAUGGGUCAGCGACUUAUAUUCUGUAGCAAGGUUAACCGAAUAGGGGAGCCGAAGGGAAACCGAGUCUUAACUGGGCGUUAAGUUGCAGGGUAUAGACCCGAAACCCGGUGAUCUAGCCAUGGGCAGGUUGAAGGUUGGGUAACACUAACUGGAGGACCGAACCGACUAAUGUUGAAAAAUUAGCGGAUGACUUGUGGCUGGGGGUGAAAGGCCAAUCAAACCGGGAGAUAGCUGGUUCUCCCCGAAAGCUAUUUAGGUAGCGCCUCGUGAAUUCAUCUCCGGGGGUAGAGCACUGUUUCGGCAAGGGGGUCAUCCCGACUUACCAACCCGAUGCAAACUGCGAAUACCGGAGAAUGUUAUCACGGGAGACACACGGCGGGUGCUAACGUCCGUCGUGAAGAGGGAAACAACCCAGACCGCCAGCUAAGGUCCCAAAGUCAUGGUUAAGUGGGAAACGAUGUGGGAAGGCCCAGACAGCCAGGAUGUUGGCUUAGAAGCAGCCAUCAUUUAAAGAAAGCGUAAUAGCUCACUGGUCGAGUCGGCCUGCGCGGAAGAUGUAACGGGGCUAAACCAUGCACCGAAGCUGCGGCAGCGACGCUUAUGCGUUGUUGGGUAGGGGAGCGUUCUGUAAGCCUGUGAAGGUGUGCUGUGAGGCAUGCUGGAGGUAUCAGAAGUGCGAAUGCUGACAUAAGUAACGAUAAAGCGGGUGAAAAGCCCGCUCGCCGGAAGACCAAGGGUUCCUGUCCAACGUUAAUCGGGGCAGGGUGAGUCGACCCCUAAGGCGAGGCCGAAAGGCGUAGUCGAUGGGAAACAGGUUAAUAUUCCUGUACUUGGUGUUACUGCGAAGGGGGGACGGAGAAGGCUAUGUUGGCCGGGCGACGGUUGUCCCGGUUUAAGCGUGUAGGCUGGUUUUCCAGGCAAAUCCGGAAAAUCAAGGCUGAGGCGUGAUGACGAGGCACUACGGUGCUGAAGCAACAAAUGCCCUGCUUCCAGGAAAAGCCUCUAAGCAUCAGGUAACAUCAAAUCGUACCCCAAACCGACACAGGUGGUCAGGUAGAGAAUACCAAGGCGCUUGAGAGAACUCGGGUGAAGGAACUAGGCAAAAUGGUGCCGUAACUUCGGGAGAAGGCACGCUGAUAUGUAGGUGAGGUCCCUCGCGGAUGGAGCUGAAAUCAGUCGAAGAUACCAGCUGGCUGCAACUGUUUAUUAAAAACACAGCACUGUGCAAACACGAAAGUGGACGUAUACGGUGUGACGCCUGCCCGGUGCCGGAAGGUUAAUUGAUGGGGUUAGCGGUAACGCGAAGCUCUUGAUCGAAGCCCCGGUAAACGGCGGCCGUAACUAUAACGGUCCUAAGGUAGCGAAAUUCCUUGUCGGGUAAGUUCCGACCUGCACGAAUGGCGUAAUGAUGGCCAGGCUGUCUCCACCCGAGACUCAGUGAAAUUGAACUCGCUGUGAAGAUGCAGUGUACCCGCGGCAAGACGGAAAGACCCCGUGAACCUUUACUAUAGCUUGACACUGAACAUUGAGCCUUGAUGUGUAGGAUAGGUGGGAGGCUUUGAAGUGUGGACGCCAGUCUGCAUGGAGCCGACCUUGAAAUACCACCCUUUAAUGUUUGAUGUUCUAACGUUGACCCGUAAUCCGGGUUGCGGACAGUGUCUGGUGGGUAGUUUGACUGGGGCGGUCUCCUCCUAAAGAGUAACGGAGGAGCACGAAGGUUGGCUAAUCCUGGUCGGACAUCAGGAGGUUAGUGCAAUGGCAUAAGCCAGCUUGACUGCGAGCGUGACGGCGCGAGCAGGUGCGAAAGCAGGUCAUAGUGAUCCGGUGGUUCUGAAUGGAAGGGCCAUCGCUCAACGGAUAAAAGGUACUCCGGGGAUAACAGGCUGAUACCGCCCAAGAGUUCAUAUCGACGGCGGUGUUUGGCACCUCGAUGUCGGCUCAUCACAUCCUGGGGCUGAAGUAGGUCCCAAGGGUAUGGCUGUUCGCCAUUUAAAGUGGUACGCGAGCUGGGUUUAGAACGUCGUGAGACAGUUCGGUCCCUAUCUGCCGUGGGCGCUGGAGAACUGAGGGGGCUGCUCCUAGUACGAGAGGACCGGAGUGGACGCAUCACUGGUGUUCGGGUUGUCAUGCCAAUGGCACUGCCCGGUAGCUAAAUGCGGAAGAGAUAAGUGCUGAAAGCAUCUAAGCACGAAACUUGCCCCGAGAUGAGUUCUCCCUGACUCCUUGAGAGUCCUGAAGGAACGUUGAAGACGACGACGUUGAUAGGCCGGGUGUGUAAGCGCAGCGAUGCGUUGAGCUAACCGGUACUAAUGAACCGUGAGGCUUAACCUUACAACGCCGAAG